rnacentral:rRNA from 1 species
UACGUAGGGCGCAAGCGUUGUCCGGAUUUAUUGGGCGUAAAGAGCUCGUAGGCGGUGUGUCGCGUCGGCCGUGAAAACCUGCAGCUUAACUGUGGGCUUGCGGUCGAUACGGGCAUCACUGGAGUUCGGCAGGGGAGACUGGAAUUCCUGGUGUAGCGGUGAAAUGCGCAGAUAUCAGGAGGAACACCGGUGGCGAAGGCGGGUCUCUGGGCCGAUACUGACGCUGAGGAGCGAAAGCGUGGGGAGCGAACAGG